rnacentral:rRNA from 1 species
CCGGCGACCGGCGCACGGGUGAGUAACACGUAUGCGACCUGCCCCCCGCAGGGGGAUAACCGGGAGAAAUCCCGACUAAUACCGCGUAACGCCGCGGACCUGCAUGGGUCUGCGGCCAAAGGAAGCGAUUCCGGCGGGGGAUGGGCAUGCGGCGCAUUAGCUAGUCGGCGGGGUAACGGCCCACCGAGGCGACGAUGCGUAGGGGUUCUGAGAGGAAGGUCCCCCACACUGGUACUGAGACACGGACCAGACUCCUACGGAAGGCAGCAG